rnacentral:rRNA from 1 species
UACGAAGGGGGCUAGCGUUGCUCGGAAUCACUGGGCGUAAAGGGUGCGUAGGCGGGUCUUUAAGUCCGGGGUGAAAUCCUGGAGCUCAACUCCAGAACUGCCUUUGAUACUGAGGAUCUUGAGUUCGGGAGAGGUGAGUGGAACUGCGAGUGUAGAGGUGAAAUUCGUAGAUAUUCGCAAGAACACCAGUGGCGAAGGCGGCUCACUGGCCCGAUACUGACGCUGAGGAGCGAAAGCCAGGGGAGCAAACGGG